UACGUAGGUGACAAGCGUUGUCCGGAUUUACUGGGCGUAAAGAGCGCGCAGGCGGUCGAUCAAGUCGAGUGUGAAAGCCCCCGGCUCAACUGGGGAGGGUCACGCGAUACUGAUCGACUCGAAGGCAGGAGAGGGUAGUGGAAUUCCCGGUGUAGUGGUGAAAUGCGUAGAUAUCGGGAGGAACACCAGUGGCGAAGGCGACUACCUGGCCUGUUCUUGACGCUGAGGCGCGAAAGCGUGGGGAGCGAACAGG
rnacentral:rRNA from 1 species